UGGGGAAUUUUGGACAAUGGGCGAAAGCCUGAUCCAGCAAUGCCGCGUGCAGGAUGAAGGCCUUCGGGUUGUAAACUGCUUUUGUACGGAACGAAAAAGCUCCUUCUAAUACAGGGGGCCCUUGACGGUACCUAAUCAGAAAGCCACGGCUAACUACGUGCCAGCAGCCGCGGUAAUACGUAGGUGGCAAGCGUUAUCCGGAAUUAUUGGGCGUAAAGCGCGCGUAGGCGGUUUUUUAAGUCUGAUGUGAAAGCCCACGGCUCAACCGUGGAGGGUCAUUGGAAACUGGAAAACUUGAGUGCAGAAGAGGAAAGUGGAAUUCCAUGUGUAGCGGUGAAAUGCGCAGAGAUAUGGAGGAACACCAGUGGCGAAGGCGACUUUCUGGUCUGUAACUGACGCUGAUGUGCGAAAGCGUGGGGAUCAAACAGGAUUAGAUACCCUGGUAGUCCACGCCGUAAACGAUGAGUGCUAAGUGUUAGGGGGUUUCCGCCCCUUAGUGCUGCAGCUAACGCAUUAAGCACUCCGCCUGGGGAGUACGACCGCAAGGUUG
rnacentral:rRNA from 1 species